rnacentral:rRNA from 1 species
AGAGUUUGAUCCUGGCUCAGAGCGAACGCUGGCGGCAGGCUUAACACAUGCAAGUCGAACGGGCACUUCGGUGCUAGUGGCAGACGGGUGAGUAACACGUGGGAACGUACCUUUCGGUUCGGAAUAAUUCAGGGAAACUUGGACUAAUACCGGAUAAGCCCUUCGGGGGAAAGAUUUAUCGCCGAUAGAUCGGCCCGCGUCUGAUUAGCUAGUUGGUGAGGUAAUGGCUCACCAAGGCGACGAUCAGUAGCUGGUCUGAGAGGAUGAUCAGCCACAUUGGGACUGAGACACGGCCCAAACUCCUACGGGAGGCAGCAGUGGGGAAUAUUGGACAAUGGGCGAAAGCCUGAUCCAGCCAUGCCGCGUGUGUGAUGAAGGCCUUAGGGUUGUAAAGCACUUUUGUCCGGGAAGAUAAUGACUGUACCGGAAGAAUAAGCCCCGGCUAACUUCGUGCCAGCAGCCGCGGUAAUACGAAGGGGGCUAGCGUUGCUCGGAAUCACUGGGCGUAAAGGGCGCGUAGGCGGACUCUUAAGUCGGGGGUGAAAGCCCAGGGCUCAACCCUGGAAUUGCCUUCGAUACUGAGAGUCUUGAGUUCGGAAGAGGUUGGUGGAACUGCGAGUGUAGAGGUGAAAUUCGUAGAUAUUCGCAAGAACACCAGUGGCGAAGGCGGCCAACUGGUCCGAUACUGACGCUGAGGCGCGAAAGCGUGGGGAGCAAACAGGAUUAGAUACCCUGGUAGUCCACGCCGUAAACGAUGUCGACUAGCCGUUGGGAUCCUUGAGAUCUUAGUGGCGCAGCUA